rnacentral:rRNA from 1 species
UGAGGAAUAUUGGGCAAUGCCCGCAAGGGUGACCCAGCAACGCCGCGUGGAGGAUGAAUGUCGUAAGAUUGUAAACUCCUGUUAGAGGGGAAGAAUAGUACCGGUUGGACCGGUAUAUGACUGUACCCUCAGAGAAAGCCCCGGCUAACUACGUGCCAGCAGCCGCGGUAAUACGUAGGGGGCAAGCGUUGUCCGGAUUUACUGGGUGUAAAGGGCGCGCAGGCGGAAUGUAAAGUCAGUGGUGAAAUCCUACAGCUUAACUGUAGAACUGCCUUUGAUACUUUCAUUCUUGAGUUCGGGAGAGAGAGACGGAAUUCCAGGUGUAGUGGUGAAAUACGUAGAUAUCUGGAAGAACACCAGUUGCGAAGGCGGUCUCUUGGUCCGAUACUGACGCUGAGGCGCGAAAGCGUGGGGAGCAAACA